AAACCAGGAUUAGAUACCCUAUUAUAUUUAAACAAAUUGGGUAGUAUUAUUAAUAAAAACCUUUAUACUUUGGCGGCAUUUUAUCUUAUUAGAGGAAUAUGUUCAUUAAUCGAAACCACACGAUAGUUUUUACUUACUAUAAAAUUUUAUAUACCCCCGUCUAAAGAAUUUAUUUAAAAUUUUUAUUCCAAAUUAUAUUAAAAAAAGUUAGGUAAAGGUGUAGACUAUUAGUAAGAUUAAAUGUAUUACAUUAAAAAAAAAAUUUAAGGAUAAAACAGUUAACUGUUUAUUAAAAGAGGAUUUAUAAGUAAUUUACUUUUAAUAAAAAUUAAUGAAUAAGAAAAUAAAUGUGCACAUAUCGCCCGUCACUCUCACA
rnacentral:rRNA from 1 species